UACGGAGGGAGCUAGCGUUAUUCGGAAUUACUGGGCGUAAAGCGCGCGUAGGCGGCUUGCAAGUCGGGUGUGAAAUCCCCAGGCUUAACCUGGGAACUGCAUUCGAGACUGCAUUGCUAGAGUAUGGGAGAGGGAAGUGGAAUUUCCGGUGUAGCGGUGAAAUGCGUAGAUAUCGGAAGGAACAUCAGUGGCGAAGGCGGCAUCCUGGACCAAUAUUGACGCUGAUGCGCGAAAGCCAGGGAGCGAACGGG
rnacentral:rRNA from 1 species